rnacentral:rRNA from 1 species
ACGAACGCUGGCGGCGUGGAUAAGACAUGCAAGUCGAGCGCUGAUUUCAGGGGUAGCAAUAUUCUGAAGUCGGAGCGGCGCAAGGGUGCGUAACACGUGGGAAUCUGCCUUGAAGUGUGGGAUAACUCCGAGAAAUCGGAGCUAAUACCGCAUGUGAUCGUAAGAUCAAAGCUGGGGGUCGCAAGACCUGGCGCUUCAAGAUGAGCCCGCGGCCUAUCAGCUAGUUGGUGGGGGUGACGGCUCACCAAGGCUAAGACGGGUAGCUGGUCUGAGAGGACGACCAGCCACACUGGAACUGAGACACGGUCCAGACACCUACGGGUGGCAGCAGUCGAGAAUUUUUCUCAAUGGGCGAAAGCCUGAAGGCGCGACGCCGCGUGGGGGAUGAAUGGCUUCGGCCCGUAAACCCCUGUCAUUUGCGAACAAAUUGUUUGACCUAAUACGUCAAGCAUUGAUUGUAGCGGAAGAGGAAGGGACGGCUAACUCUGUGCCAGCAGCCGCGGUAAUACAGAGGUCCCAAGCGUUGUUCGGAUUCACUGGGCGUAAAGGGUGCGUAGGCGGUGAGGUAAGUCUGACGUGAAAUCUCCGAGCUUAACUCGGAAACUGCGUUGGAUACUAUCUCGCUCGAGGAAUGGAGGGGAGACUGGAAUACUUGGUGUAGCAGUGAAAUGCGUAGAUAUCAAGUGGAACACCAGUGGCGAAGGCGAGUCUCUAGACAUUUCCUGACGCUGAGGCAGCGAAAGCCAGGGGAGCAAACGGGAUUAGAUACCCCGGUAGUCCUGGCCCUAAACGGUGCGCGUUUGCUGUGAGUGGAAUCGACCCCGCUCGUGGCGAAGUUAACACGUUAAACGCGCCGCCUGGGAAGUACGGCCGCAAGGUUAAAACUCAAAGAAAUUGACGGGGGCCUGCACAAGCGGUGGAGUAUGUGGCUUAAUUCGAUGCAACGCGAAGAACCUUACCUGGCCUUGACAUGCAAGUAGUAGAAGGAUGAAAGUCUGACGAGGUAGCAAUACCAGCUUGCACAGGUGCUGCAUGGCUGUCGUCAGCUCGUGUCGUGAGAUGUUGGGUUAAGUCCCGCAACGAGCGCAACCCCCUGUGCCCUGUUGCCACCCCCUUAAUUGGGAGCACUCUGGACAGACUGCCUCGCUUCAACGAGGAGGAAGGUGGGGAUGACGUCAAGUCAGUAUGGCCCUUACGGCCAGGGCUGCACACGUACUACAAUGCCCGGCACAAAGGGAAGCAAGAUCGUAAGAUGGAGCAAAUCCCCUAAAACCGGGCCCAGUUCAGGUUGUCGUCUGCAACUCGACGGCAUGAAGCUGGAAUCGCUAGUAAUGGCGCAUCAGCUACGGCGCCGUGAAUACGUUCCCAGGCCUUGUACACACCGCCCGUCACAUCAUGAAAGCCGGUUGCACCCGAAGCCGCCCCUUAAAAGGUGUCGAAGGUAUGACUGGUGAUUGGGAUG